AGAGUUUGAUCCUGGCUCAGGACGAACGCUGGCGGCGUGCUUAAUACAUGCAAGUCGAGCGAGGUUACUGUUUUGGAUCCCUUCGGGGUGAAGAAGCUUUAACCUAGCGGCGGACGGGUGAGUAACGCGUGGGUAAUCUGCCCCCAAGACCGGGAUAACAGGGCGAAAGCGCUGCUAAUACCGGAUGACCUCUCUUUAUCGCAUGGUGAAGGGAGCAAAGCUACGGCGCUUGGGGAUGAGCCCGCGUUCCAUUAGCUAGUUGGUGAGGUAACAGCUCACCAAGGCGACGAUGGAUAGCCGGCCUGAGAGGGUGACCGGCCACACUGGGACUGAGACACGGCCCAGACUCCUACGGGAGGCAGCAGUAGGGAAUUUUCGGCAAUGGGGGAAACCCUGACCGAGCAACGCCGCGUGAGGGAUGAAGGCCUUCGGGUCGUAAACCUCUGUCUUUGGGGACGAUAAUGACGGUACCCGAGGAGGAAGCCCCGGCUAACUACGUGCCAGCAGCCGCGGUAAU
rnacentral:rRNA from 1 species